rnacentral:rRNA from 1 species
GCUUGUCUCAAAGAUUAAGCCAUGCAUGUCUAAGUAUAAGCACCCUUAUACUGCGAAACUGCGUACAGCUCAUUAUAUCAGCAAUUAUUUAUUUGAAGGUCACCUAUUACAUGGAUAACUGUGGUAAUUCUAGAGCUAAUACAUGCGUAAAGUCCCGACUCUUUCUGGGGAGGGAUGUAUUUAUUAGAUAAAAAACCAAUGCGGGUUCUGCCCGGUUUUGUGUUGAAUCAUAGUAACUUUUCGAAUCGCAUGGCUUCACGCCGGCGAUAGUUCAUUCAAAUUUCUGCCCUAUCAGCUUUCGACGGUAGUGUAGUGGACUACCGUGGCGUUAACGGGUAACGGAGAAUUAGGGUUCGAUUCCGGAGAGGGAGCCUGAGAAACGGCUACCACAUCUAAGGAAGGCAGCAGG